rnacentral:tRNA from 1 species
GGGGCAUUGGUCAAGUGGUAAGACACGACACUUUCACUGUCGAAUCGCGAGUUCAAUUCUCGCAUGCCCUAC